CCACCUCUCGCCCAGGGCAAGAAAGUGAGAUUUGCUGGCAAGCCAACCUUCAUCAAACGCUUGAGCUCGGACAGUCUAGAUGGAGGAAAACUCCGAAGGAUAAGGAGCUUACUGCGCAAGGAGAGCUCUACGUCCAGUCUGCUGCCAGCCAUCCCUGGAGUGC